GGCCUUGCAUCUCAGUUGUUUUAAUAGUUAACUAACUGUUCUGACAAUGGUGAAAUAACUCUUCAUAGUCACUCCCUCAAUACACGACGCUUUCACAACGAAUCCUCAUGGGCCUCCAAUGUUCUCGAGUAAACGAGGAGAUUUAUUACAGGGCGCAAUAUACUGUACACAGUUCAUCAAAGCCUUGCUCCCUCAGGAAUAACAUACAUUUGACAAGGUGUCUUAGAUUGUGUUGCGGCUUGAAUCUGCCAAUGGAAAACUAUGCAACAAAGAUGCUAUGAAGAAUAUGCUAUGGAUCUAAAGAUGCCAUAAAACUCUCUUCUUUCAAACACCUCAAAUUGUCUCAGAACAACCGGCCUCACCAAUUACAUGUCUCGGAAAACCAAAAAACGCCUGAUAUUAGAUUAUUGGAUUCUUUCAUAUUCACUCAGGUUCUGGUGUCCGAGUGAAUAUAACAUUGAAACAAAGUUGGUAGCUACAGACAUUUGGAUAAGAUACCUCUAUGCACAUUCUGGUCUUACAAAUUGAAUUAGUGUACGGGGAAAUCUACUCUUUCCGCACCUGGCAACAUGAACAGCAGACAUUUUGAUGCAUUGUGCUGUGUGUGUAUGGUCUGC
rnacentral:lncRNA from 1 species